rnacentral:rRNA from 1 species
UUUAAGUCUCCUGAAGGAACGUUGAAGACGACGACGUUGAUAGGUCGGGUGUGUAAGCGCAGCGAUGCGUUGAGCUAACCGAUACUAAUGAACCGUGAGGCUUAACCUUACAACGCCGAAGGUGUUU